rnacentral:lncRNA from 1 species
ACAAGAGGCAUUAACUUGGUGUUAAAUAGGAAACUGCAGUUUCUUCUGACUUAUAAAUAUAAUGUGUAGCAAUAUUAGUUGCACAAAUUUGGAGGACUAUUUGUCUUCGUGGAUGAGCGAUGCAGAGUGAAGACUUCAAACAUGCUUUGAAGUAAUCAAAAACCCGUUUAACAUAGAAAAACCUCACCGGUGAGAACACGAGUAAACAGACCAGCUCUCCAUCUCAGCACAUGAUUCUUUGAAGUGUGACCAAAAUCCUCCUGCACAUCUAAUUUGCUGUUUCAAAGGGAACAUGUUUGCUGAUAUUAAAUUCCUUAGUAUUCCUUCAUAUUUUCUACAAAGUAGAUUUAAUUCACUGUUACAUCAGUUCUUAAAGAUUUACUGACUUACUCCCUCGGUGGCAGUACAGUACAGUAUGUUUACGUGCAUGUAUGUAUUUGCAUAUGUAAAAAAUCCUUUUAGUAUCUUCAGACAUCUUCAACAAAUUAAUAAAAUAAGAACCUUUUAAAGACUUUCUUAUUUCUCAGUGAUUGACAUACUUCAUAAUGGUAAAUUAGAGCUUGAAUGCUGGCAGUGGUGAUGAUAACCCAUCUUGUCUACAGUGAUAUUGAAAGAAUGGGGAAUAUCUUGCAUGGUGAUUUACUGUGUUCACUGAAAUGAGAUGCAAUAUUUCCUGACAUUUAAUGAUUAUUUGUUUUUUUUUUACACACUUACUCUUUUUAGCAGACAAAUACAAGAGUAACUUAUAAUUUGAGUGUUAAAAUACAUUUUAAAAGCUGUUCUGUGCUCAUAAAUAUGCAUCAUAGAUACAACAUUUGACUGAAGAAUUGAAUUUUUGUGACUUUUCUAUUUGUGGCAGCACCAGAGAAAAUUUCAAAAAUGAUGGUGUCGUCUGAAGAAAGAAAAAAAAAAAAGCAAAAAUCUGGAUGAGAAAUUAGGAGUUUCCUUGGGACCACAAUAUACUAAAGGGUGGAUUUCAGAUUGAUUCUAAGACUGCUUCACUAAUCGAAGGUUCCCAGUGAGAUGGAGACCUGAAUCAACAUCCUACUUGAAUGCGGACGAGUAAAAACUUUUUCACAGAUUAGCACCUAUGUCAACAGAAAUGAAAACGAGAUGAAGGAAAGACAUCAGAAAAAUGACCCGGGGACUCUGACUAAGGGAGUGAAAGAAAAUGUCUUCAAAGACGACUCUCAGGUACUUCCAUAAACAUCAGGCUAACUCUUCUUUACCUCCACAAAAGAAGAAAACCAAUGCACCCACGAAUGUCCAGCUAGCCUCUGAAAUACUCUGACUCCAGGUCUUAAAAAGACCUUUCCAACAACUAGAUAUGCCUCUGGGCGGAUUCAGAUUCUCUUGCUUAUUUGCAACUGUGUGACUCAACUGAACGUUGCUUGGCCUUAGUGGUGAACUAGCCCUGCCCAGCUUAUAGAUUUGAGAGGUAGUUUUCCUUUAUUAGCUUUUUGAAUGUACAAUGCAAUAGGCUCCAGGGAAUUUGAAUAGAACAUCAACUUCAUGCCCCCCAUUGCAUUCCUCUGGCCUUAGCCUCAUGGUUUCAAAUUCAUAACACAGCACAUUCCUUCCUGCUCCUGCCUGACCCCUCUUUACAAAGGACUCUCGCUGGAAAGGACAAACUUCCUCAGGCUCUCCGUGACCUACCGCUCUUCCACUGAUGAGAUGCCCUUAUUUGAUGUUUAUCUGUUUGUUGGUCUUUAAUUUGGAUUGCAUGUUUGCCUAGUUGCUGUUUUAGCUUUUGUGGUAUAUUUUUAAAUCUCUUUUUAAAGUUUCCUAAGUAGUGGGAUUAUCGACAAAUGCCUCGGAGAAUCACAGCCUCAGUCAUUCUCAGCUGAGAAUGCUAUAUUCAACCUGACGUGAAGCUCCUAACUUUCUCCUUUUCCUUGGUAAUGUCUCUCAGAUAUUUAUCUUUCUAUUCCCAGAGCUUCCCUAGACUUUUAAAAUGGGUCUAUCUGCCUCUUCCCAUAUUCACUGAUACCAAAUCAAUCUGAAACACCAUGAUUAUAAUACCUUUCUACUUAAACAUCUUCAGUAGAUGCUCAUCUGAGAGUAAAAUCAAGUGAUUUAGACUGUUACCAACCCAAUGUCAACAGCCUAUUGAUGUUGCAAAUUUAUUCAAGUGGAAACAAUUUGCAGUUCUCGAAAACUUUCUUUACAACUUGACAACAGGAGUAUUUAUCGUCUUUGGUGCUUCCCCAUAAAAUGGCUUCUUUAACCAAAGGUUAUGUUUUUAAAAUUAUCUUCUGCUUUUGAGAAAAGUACGUGUAAAUGAGAGCACAGCUUUAGAGAAGCGCAUACACCAGGGCAGAGAAGUCAUUCUAACUCUGGAGGUGGGCUCUUUUGCGGAGUGACGUGCUCUUUAUCCCUUCUGUGGAUUGUCAGUCCAGAAUUCAGCCUGACCCUGAACUGGCCCGACUCAAACACGAGACCAGCAUAUGUCGUUACGUAUAUACUGGCGGCAAUGCCCUCCCCACACCUCUGUCAUUUUCACCUAGGGAAGCCGGAGUGAGAGUCACUGAAAUGUGACUGCUUUCUCCGGUCAAAACCAAGCCUGUUCUGGGCAGGCAAGACAGCAGCAGAUGUUGGUUUGGGUUCAUUCUGAAGGCCUCCAGAUGGGAUAAAUGUUCAAGUUUCCUCAUGAGUGGGCCUUCCUCGGGUCUUCCUCAGGGCCAUCCCAGAGCUAGCCUGCUUUUGAGAGCUGCUUCGUGGGUUACACGGGUUUGCUUUCAGACUUGGAUCCCAGUAAGAACUCACAUGAAGGACUUAAUUAACCCAUCUUUCUCCCACUUUCACUAUAAUGUGUAUGUGUGUGAUGUGUAUAUAUAGUAUACGUAGUGUAUAUACGUGUGUAUGUAAUAUACACACACACCCACCCAGAAACACACACACACAUUUUAUACAGAGGGAGAAUCUUUUCUUCCAUCUAACAGAGUUGCGUAGGCUCAAAUUUCCUUCCAUAGUUUAACGGCCAACAACAACAAAAACAAACAAUCCCCUCCAUCUUGUCACCGGUUACCGCAAGACUUUUCCCACAUUGCUAAUUUGUAACAGCCUCGUAUCUGUUGUUGAGGUGAAGUGGAACACAACUACUAACCCCGUCAUGACUAAACAUGUAGGCAUAAAUCACUCCUUGAUCGUCCUUCCUGAGGAGGGACUUGUGCACAAACAGCGAACCCGGAACGGCGGGCUGAUGCGGAAUCUUAAUGGCAAUAAUGUGAUUUGCAACAGCAACAGCGAAAGAUUUUACAUGUAAGUCUUCUGAGAAGGAACCUAUGGUUUAUGUAUUUUAACAAUUAUCAUCUCAAAGACAAAUCAUAAUUUGUAGCAAGGUAGUAAGAAAUCCUCAAAAAUCAGGUUCUGGAUAGAAAAUGCUUCUAUCACCAAGGGAAACAGAGCAGUCGCCUACGCCCACAUCAUGGCACCACCUGAUACUCCCCUGCCUGCUACCUACCUAUUAUCAAAAAUGGCAGGGAAAAUGCAAAAGAAGGAAGACAAAAGAAAGUAUUAUUUUACGUGAGUUUGGUCUUGGUGCUAAGGGGAUCCUGAUGAGAAAGGGGUGAGAAUUGUAUGGGGUGGGUGUUGGUAACCCCAAUGCGAAUGUCUUUGUUGCUGCUGCAUUUAAUUAGGAGGUCUUGCUGAUGGGGCAAAUUCUGACCCGUGCUUUGCUCCAUAAAACCAGAAAGGGUAGCAGUCUGCAGUCAAGCUGCUAUUCUUUUUUUUUUCAAACACCCCCCAGCUAACAUGAGUUCAGAGGCAUGUAGACAAGGGCAGAGCCUCCCCCACUCCUCUCUGGUCCAGCCCUUUUGAACGCUGAGCAUAGUGAUAGAUGGUCACAGAAAUGACAUUUUCUUCAAGAAUCAAAUUCAAAAAUAGUGACCCAAUGCCUCUUUCCUUUCAUAGUCAUUACCACAUCAGGGAGAACUGACAAAGUGAUAAUGCCCAGCUCUGAAAUUCACAGGCCUUGAGACAAAGCCAUCCAAGUCAGGGCAUUCCAGAAUUAGUUCCCUUAGGGAUUCGAAGGAUUCUGGGUUAGCCAUCAUUAAGAGAAGAAUCAUGUUUAAGACAGUCUGUCUUUUUUUUUUCUUUUUUAAAUUGUUUAUCGAGUGAGGAAGGCUGACAUGGGUAGGAUACAGCUUAUUUGUUUAGCUAUCUGGUCUUGAAAUGGAGACCUCCUAGACAGCUGAUGGCGAGGAAAAUUUUUGCUCCAAAGAAUCUGUAAAACAGAACUGUGCAUGCCCUCAUCCUCCUGGAUUUAUUCCAUGGGUCUGGAAGUGCUCAGAGGACAAACCCCUCCUUCUCUUUUGUUCUCCUUGUAUCCUGGUGCCUGUUCAGCCGUACACAGACCCCACACCCUGGCACUGAGCGAGGACAAGGAGGGCUGUGCCAGGCUUCUAGUAAGUGGGAAAGAUUUUUAAAAAGUAGGUGGCACAUUUGGAAAGAGAAAAUUCUAUUUAUUACUAUAAAUUGCUAUUUCUACCACCAACAUAACAUAUAAGAUACUAGUUUGACCGAAAUGCAAUAUGCAAUAUGCAUAACUGUUUUAGCAGAGGAAAUUUGGUAACUUUUGUUAAGUGUUAUUUCUUUUGGAAUACACCUUGACAGGGGCCUAUGAGAAGUUGGAAGGAAAUGGUAAAAAUCACAUAUUUUCUUGUGAAUAGGAAGUGAUUUUUAAUUACUAAGGAGCCUUUCAUGUUACAGGUGAGGACAGGAAAAUCCAGACAGGGGCUCUGACUCUCACAGUCAUGCAGUUAGGAGUAAGCGACACAAUCGCGACCGGAACCCAGGUUUUUAGUUUCAUCUCAUGAGUGUCAAUGACUUGGGAAACGGAGACUGCCUUCCCCAACCCAGAGAGAGCUCCAAAGAGAAGUGCAGUGUCCACACUGGUUCUGCAUUUGCAGCCUCAAGAUAUUCUGACACCACUCUAGGAUCCUGAAACAUAGGCCAGGGACUUUCUCUGUGCUGAACACCUUCCUGGGAGGCUGAGGAGUUACGGGAUCCAGGAGUGAGAGCUGCUGGCAUUGCUUUUAUUUUAUUGUCAGAGGAAUGAGCCACAGAUGCUGCAAAGUCUCCAGAAAACACUCAUUUGUCAAUCUUCAGUUCUGUGAUUGUAAAACAUGAAAAGUUCUCUUGCACUGAUCGUCCAUGUGUAAACUUAUUGCUUUAUUAUCAAUCGUUUUAAAUGGCUGGUGUACACAGCUUAGUGUUAGGGUAAAUAUCUGACAAUCACCGUGUAAGGGAAGCUGAUGAUGCACACAGAUAUGAGGCCAUCAAAUCAUCUAAUCUAGACAGUUGCAGAACGAGUUUAAAGAGGAAACUGGACACUUGUGGAAGCUGCAUUUACUCUUGAACCGUUAUGGAACAAGUUAGCACAUCCGGAAUAUUGACUUGCCAAAUGGAACACCCUGAAAGAGUUAAUUCAACCUUGCAACUAUCAACACACUCCAGGGACACAGCCGAUGAACUGA